rnacentral:rRNA from 1 species
CACGCCGUAAACGAUGGGUGCUAGAUGUCACGGGCUUUGACCCCUGUGGCGUCGUAGCUAACGCGUUAAGCACCCCGCCUGGGGAGUACGGUCGCAAGACUAAAACUCAAAGGAAUUGACGGGGGCCCGCACAAGCGGUGGAGCAUGUGGUUUAAUUCGACGCAACGCGAAGAACCUUACCUGGGCUAGAAAACGCAAGAACCCUGCUGAAAGGUGGGGGUGCUCUUCGGAGAACUUGUGGUUAGGUGC